rnacentral:snoRNA from 1 species
UGGAGGACUGAGAAGGUUGAGCAGCUUGUGCUGUGCUGUUAUAACUGGUUAUAACCUCCAAGAGUAACACACAAACCACUCAAUUGAGCAUCUUUGUCAUGAGCUGAUUUGUAGUGUGUUUGUGAACAAAAC